rnacentral:rRNA from 1 species
UGGGGAAUAUUGCACAAUGGGCGCAAGCCUGAUGCAGCCAUGCCGCGUGUAUGAAGAAGGCCUUCGGGUUGUAAAGUACUUUCAGCGGGGAGGAAGGCGAUAAGGUUAAUAACCUUGUCGAUUGACGUUACCCGCAGAAGAAGCACCGGCUAACUCCGUGCCAGCAGCCGCGGUAAUACGGAGGGUGCAAGCGUUAAUCGGAAUUACUGGGCGUAAAGCGCACGCAGGCGGUCUGUCAAGUCGGAUGUGAAAUCCCCGGGCUCAACCUGGGAACUGCAUCCGAAACUGGCAGGCUUGAGUCUCGUAGAGGGGGGUAGAAUUCCAGGUGUAGCGGUGAAAUGCGUAGAGAUCUGGAGGAAUACCGGUGGCGAAGGCGGCCCCCUGGACGAAGACUGACGCUCAGGUGCGAAAGCGUGGGGAGCAAACA